rnacentral:sRNA from 1 species
GACCCCAUGCUGGGGCAUACCCAGAGGGAUAUCAUUAUCCUGUCAAACUUCACCAACCUCAGACAUUGCUCUGUGCCCCACCUCAGCCUCAACAAUGUGUCCUGAGUGUCCUUGGGUCAGUGAGGGCCUGUUGGCCUGCAAUCCCAGCCUGUGUAACUCUGCUUCGGUCGUAUCUACUGUGGGUAGGUGCUGGGCUUGGGAAUGUCACAACAGAAGUGACAUCACAGAAGAUGGUCUGAAAUCAUUGUGUGAGAAGAUUGGAAGAGUCCAGAAAGACAUCAUGUGAGAAACCCGGCACAGUAUGGGACCUCGAGGGACAUCUAGUCGGGCUUUCUGAAGAGAGUCAGUGGUAUUUCCCCAGAUGCAGCCUGCACACUCGGAGGUCUGGGAGGUGGCAGCACCGGCACACUGGAGUUGUCUAGUGAGGCAUUUCCACAUCGCUGCGUACAGGUAAUGUAGGUAGUGCGCACAGCAUGGAGAGUGUGUUUCUUCAUGGAAGUGGUACACCUCUGUGCUUCAGACAAGCUUUAAAGAAAUCGGUGAAGUUGCAAGUUUAGUGUGCUGGGCCUUACAAAAGUGUCUGCUGCUCUACGUUGCAUGAGAGGAGGAAAGUCAGACAUCGGUGCAGAAAAGUCAAAUCACAGCCAGAGAAUGGAGGGCGAGCUUCCCUCCGCCAAGGUGGACUGAAGAGAGGGCGGGGCUUGGAGACAGCACCAGGAGGAAACUGGUGAACGAGAGGACAGGACUGAGUUCAUCUGUGUUACCUCCUGGCUGUGUGGCCUGGAGCACAGCCCAAUUUCCCAUCUGCAAUGGGGGAAUCACGACCCGGUGUUGCGUAUUCAGCAUUUGGAGAAAACUCUUCUUCGUUAGUCAGAAGUUUCUAGAGACUAUUAGAGGUUAAUGAAUGCUUGU